AUAAGUGUUAGGGAGCUUUCUUCAGUCCAGUCCGAGGCGGUUCGAGGGCUGAUCACACAGCCGCUGACUCGUUUGUUCAUGAACACAUCUGCAAGGAGAUGAAUUACGAUGUGUUCUUGAUCGAACGAUGUAGAGGCUGUGUUCAGUUAUUGCUGUCACGUCUUGGACUGAAGGGAGCUCCCUGGCUAUCUUUU
rnacentral:pre_miRNA from 1 species